AUUGAACGCUGGCGGCAUGCCUUACACAUGCAAGUCGAACGGUAACGGGUCCUUCGGGAUGCCGACGAGUGGCGAACGGGUGAGUAAUAUAUCGGAACGUGCCCAGUAGUGGGGGAUAACUGCUCGAAAGAGCAGCUAAUACCGCAUACGACCUGAGGGUGAAAGGGGGGGAUCGCAAGACCCCUCGCUAUUGGAGCGGCCGAUAUCAGAUUAGCUAGUUGGUGGGGUAAAGGCCUACCAAGGCAACGAUCUGUAGUUGGUCUGAGAGGACGACCAGCCACACUGGGACUGAGACACGGCCCAGACUCCUACGGGAGGCAGCAGUGGGGAAUUUUGGACAAUGGGCGCGAGCCUGAUCCAGCAAUGCCGCGUGCAGGAAGAAGGCCUUCGGGUUGUAAACUGCUUUUGUCAGGGAAGAAAUCUUCUGGGCUAAUACCCCGGGAGGAUGACGGUACCUGAAGAAUAAGCACCGGCUAACUACGUGCCAGCCGCCGCAGUAA
rnacentral:rRNA from 1 species